UACGAAGGGGGCUAGCGUUGCUCGGAAUCACUGGGCGUAAAGGGUGCGUAGGCGGGUCUUUUAAGUCAGGGGUGAAAUCCUGGAGCUCAACUCCCAGAACUGCCUUUGAUACUGAGGAUCUUGAGUUCGGGAGAGGUGAGUGGAACUGCGAGUGUAGAGGUGAAAUUCGUAGAUAUUCGCAAGAACACCAGUGGCGAAGGCGGCUCACUGGCCCGAUACUGACGCUGAGGCACGAAAGCGUGGGGAGCAAACAGGG
rnacentral:rRNA from 1 species